rnacentral:lncRNA from 1 species
GUUGUUUGUAUUUAAUUAAAUAUGUUGAAGUCGGUCUACAAUUUCGCCGAAUAUUUACGAUGUAUUAUGUUGUCUACAGCUAGCUGCUACUAGGUAAGUUCAUGCCUAACAAUUUGUACAUCAGUGUUUUUACCCAUCCAAGGUGACUAUUUUAUUUGAGAAAAAUGUUAUUUUCAUUAUUAAUCCAUCAAAGGCAAUUCAUAUACCAAUCAGUGAUAUC